UGACCACUGAUUACAUAUUACUUCUCAAGUUUAGGAUGAUCUGUUAUUUUUUUUUUACUUUUUACCUUCUAAAUAUUCGUUUUUCACUGAAGUAAAGGAGACCAACUUUGUGCCGAAAUCUUUAAUGUUAAAGAGGAUCUUAAGUUCCAAUCAUCACGCGAAGACACAAAUAUUGAGUAUUUUUUUAGUAGCAGCCAGCCUAAGCCAUAUCUACCUGAUUAAUGAGGAGAUUUGGGGGCUGGUGACCGAUGCAGGAAGACUAUGCUGAAGUGCCACUUGUUGGAUUCCCUGCUAGCUUGCUUAGAAAAUAGAAGAUUGAUUAGAUUGUCGUAUUACCAAAUAGUCUUGAUGCAAGCUUCCUUUUGUGUUUAGUGUUAACAUGACUGUGAAUAGUGGGCAUAAAGUAAUUCGACAUUGUUAAA